rnacentral:rRNA from 1 species
CCUACGGGAGGCAGCAGUGGGGAAUAUUGGGCAAUGGGCGCAAGCCUGACCCAGCAACGCCGCGUGAAGGAAGAAGGCUUUCGGGUUGUAAACUUCUUUUGUCAGGGACGAAGAAAGUGACGGUACCUGACGAAUAAGCGACGGCUAACUACGUGGCAGCAGCCGCGGUAAUACGUAGGCGGCAAGCGUUAUCCGGAUUUACUGGGUGUAAAGGGGGUGUAGGCGGGGAGGCAAGUCAGAGGUGAAAACAAGGGGCUCACCCUGAGGACUGCAUUUGAAACUGUUUUUCUUGAGUGCAGGAGAGGUAAUCGGAAUUCCGGGUGUAGCGGUGAAAUGCGUAGAUAUACGGAGGAACACCAGUGGCGAAGGCGGAUUACUGGACAGUAACUGACGCUGAGGCGCGAAAGCGUGGGGAGCAAACAGGAUUAGAUACCCCAGUAGUC